ACUCCCGCUCAAGUUCAUAUAUCUACGUACGUGUAAAGUCAACUCUACAGACCAACUCUACCAUGAAAGUCUUCACCAUUUUCCUGUGUAUUGGUCUCUUGUGUGCUGUGUCUGCUUAUUGGGAUACAGAAACUCAAGAAGGCAAACGUCUAGUUCUCCGUGGGGAGAAGAAAUAUACCGACUGGGUGGGGGAGAGGGAGGCUGAGCAGCUGGCCCCCAAGAAGAGAAAGGUUGUCUCACCGUACUGAUGUGAUGUGUUUGGUGUAUAGCACAAUAAAAUACCAAUCAUGGUGA